UACAGAGGUCUCAAGCGUUGUUCGGAUUCAUUGGGCGUAAAGGGUGCGUAGGCGGCGCGGCAAGUCGGGUGUGAAAUCUUGGAGCUUAACUCCGAAACUGCAUUCGAUACUGCCGUGCUUGAGGACUGGAGAGGAGACUGGAAUUUACGGUGUAGCGGUGAAAUGCGUAGAUAUCGUAAGGAAGACCAGUGGCGAAGGCGGCUACCUGGACCGGUUCUGACGCUGAUGCGCGAAAGCGUGGGUAGCAAACAGG
rnacentral:rRNA from 1 species